UACGGAGGAUGCAAGCGUUAUCCGGAUUUAUUGGGUUUAAAGGGUGCGUAGGCGGGGCAAUUAGUCAGUGGUGAAAUCCUGCGGCUUAACCGUAGAAUUGCCAUUGAUACUGUUGUCCUUGAGUAUAGUUGAGGUGGGCGGAAUGUGUAAUGUAGCGGUGAAAUGCAUAGAGAUUACACAGAACACCAAUUGCGAAGGCAGCUCACUAAGCUAUAACUGACGCUGAGGCACGAAAGCGUGGGGAGCGAACAGGAUUAGAUACCCCCGUA
rnacentral:rRNA from 1 species